CGUCGACUAGGUCACGUGACUGUUUUGAACGACGUCACGUUUUGCCUUUCCCCAACCUCUUUUUGUGCCCUCUUCGCCGUGUGUGCUAGCAUCGUUCCGUGCGGUGCGUCCUAGACAUGAGGGCCAAGUGGCGUAAGAAGCGGAUGCGAAGGUUGAAGCGCAAGCGCAGGAAGAUGCGUGAGAGGUCCAAGUAGACUGGACCCGCGAGUGGCGGAGACAAGCCUGGCUGACAGGAGAGAUGCCACAAGACGGCGACCUCGACUUCCUGCCCGCACUGUACCACCACCCGGCCACUGCAUCGGACGGUGUCCUUGCACUUACAUGACGGACCCAAGCUCUCGAUGUGCGCAGGAUACACCUCCGAACACAUUGGAUCAUCACAACUGUGCGUCCAUUAAAACC